GGGCCCGCACAAGCGGUGGAGCAUGUGGUUUAAUUCGAUGAUACGCGAGGAACCUUACCAGGGCUUAAAUGUAGGUUGCAUGAUCUAGAGAUAGAUCUUUCUUCGGACUACCUACAAGGUGCUGCAUGGUUGUCGUCAGCUCGUGCCGUGAGGUGUCAGGUUAAGUCCUAUAACGAGCGCAACCCCUGUCGUUAGUUACCAGCAAUUAAAGUUGGGUACUCUAGCGAGACUGCCGGUGCAAACCGUGAGGAAGGUGGGGAUGACGUCAAAUCAUCACGGCCCUUACGUCCUGGGCUACACACGUGCUACAAUGGCCGGUACAGAGAGCAGCCACUACGCGAGUAGGAGCGAAUCUUCAAAGCCGGUCUCAGUUCGGAUCGCAGUCUGCAACUCGACUGCGUGAAGCUGGAAUCGCUAGUAAUCG
rnacentral:rRNA from 1 species